GUCCUCUGUCAUCCCCUUCUCCUCGUGCCCUCCAUCUUUCCCAACAUCAGGGUCUUUUCCAGGGAGUCUUCUCUUCUCAUGAGGUGGCCAAAAUCUUGGAGCCUCAGCUUCAGGAUCUGUCCUUCCAGUGAGCACUCAGGGCUGAUUUCCUUCCGAAUGGAGAGGUUUGAUCUUCUUGCAGUCCAUGGGACUCUCAAGAGUCUCCUCCAGCACCAGAGA